rnacentral:rRNA from 1 species
UGGGGAAUAUUGCACAAUGGGCGAAAGCCUGAUGCAGCAACGCCGCGUGCGGGAUGACGGCCUUCGGGUUGUAAACCGCUUUCAGCAGGGACGAAGGUUUUCUGACGGUACCUGCAGAAGAAGCACCGGCUAACUACGUGCCAGCAGCCGCGGUGAUACGUAGGGUGCGAGCGUUGUCCGGAAUUAUUGGGCGUAAAGAGCUUGUAGGCGGUCCGUUGCGUCGGAAGUGAAAACUCAGGGCUUAACCCUGAGCCUGCUUUCGAUACGGGCGGACUUGAGGGAUGUAGGGAGAACGGAAUUCCUGGUGGAGCGGUGGAAUGCGCAGAUAUCAGGAGGAACACCAGUGGCGAAGGCGGUUCUCUGGACAUUUCCUGACGCUGAGAAGCGAAAGCGUGGGGAGCAAAACAGGCUUAGAUACCCUGGUAGUCCACGCCGUAAACGGUGGGCA